GAUGAACGCUGGCGGCGUGCCUAAUACAUGCAAGUCGAGCGAACCACUUCGGUGGUGAGCGGCGAACGGGUGAGUAACACGUAGGUGAUCUGCCCAUCAGACGGGGACAACGAUUGGAAACGAUCGCUAAUACCGGAUAGGACGAAAGUUUAAAGGUGCUUCUGGCACCGCUGAUGGAUGAGCCUGCGGCGCAUUAGCUAGUUGGUAGGGUAAAGGCCUACCAAGGCGACGAUGCGUAGCCGACCUGAGAGGGUGAACGGCCACACUGGGACUGAGAAACGGCCCAGGCUCCUACGGGAGGCAGCAGUAGGGAAUCUUCCGCAAUGGGCGAAAGCCUGUCGGAGCAACGCCGCGUGAGUGAUGAAGGUCUUCGUAUCGUAAAACUCUGUUGUUAGGGAAGAACAAAUUUGUUAGUAACUGAACAAGUCUUGACGGUACCUAACCAGAAAGCCACGGCUAACUACGUGCCAGCCGCCGCAGUAA
rnacentral:rRNA from 1 species